ensembl:lincRNA
CAACUGGAAGCCAUUUGUGUCAAGGUGACAUCCGGAGACAGGAAAGGGCAGGAGAAGCCAACCUCCCUGCUGGCCAUCACCCGACCCCAGGCGGCCGGACAGAGCCCGAAGCCUGGGAGCUGGCCUGGCCCAGUGGGGCUCGGGGUACAGCCUGUGGGUCCUCAAGGACCCAUGCCCGCCAAGAGGGUGAAGGCUACCCCUGCCCUGAGCAGCCAGGGCAGCAUGCCGACCCCUGUGACUGCCUCUGACCUGCCUGUGGCAGCACCUGCUGGGUCAGGGUUCAGCACAUCCGUCUCUGUCGCCAGCUGGCUCACGAACAGGGCAGACCGAGAAGCUCAGGAAGUCCUCGAGGGUGAAAACACGUUCUGGACGGAUAUCCCGGCCCCCCAAGUACAAGGCCAGAGAUUACAGAUUCAUCAAGACGGAGGACCUGGCAGACGGGCGGCUGUCGGACUCGGAUGACUACUUGGAGCUGAGCUCGGGGGACGAGGAGGAGCAGCGAGACCCUCGGGCGCUAUUCACCGUGGCCAGCUGUGCUCUACGGCCCCGGGCCUUUCGCUGCCAGGCCUGUGACAAGGCGUACAUUGGGCAGGGCGGGCUGGCCCGGCACUGGAGGCUGAACCCAGGCCACAGUGGGCUGCAGCCCAAGGCGUCACCCGAGAGGGGGCAGCUGGAGGCCGGCACUGGGGGCCCGGCCUUGCCAGAGCUGUGCAUACCGGCUGUGCCCCGCCAGGACGGGGCAGAGGCAGCACAAGGCAGCCCACAGUGUGUAGAAGUUGAAGAGGCGAUGGUGCUGGAGCCAGAAAAUGCCAGUCCUGCUUCGGGGAUUCAACCUGGAGACACCGAGGGCCUGGCAGAGUCCAGCGCAGCCGUCGCCCCGCCGAACGCCUACAGGAGCAGAGCCCAGCUCCAGGAGUUGCUCCUGCAGAGUGGCCCAGAGGACUUGAUGGAGCUGGUGCUGCCCCGGCUGGUACAGGUGGUGACUGUAUAUGAGUUUCUCCUGGUGAAGGUUGCCGAGUCCCUAGGAAUCCCAGGAUUUCUGAGGAAGACAGAAGCACGCCCAGACCACACUGUAGCCCAAGGCCACAGUCCAGAGAGGGCCGGGCUGAGGCUUGAGGAAGCCGGUGGCUGGCAGAGGUUGCAUGAGGCUGCACAGCAAGCACCCGCAGCACAGAGGCCCAGGCAAGCAGCUCUGCCCAUUGGUGACCCAGAGCGCCCUGCUGCCCUUGGCGGAGGCCAGGAGACUCCUGGGCUGGGUGUGCCCACUACAGGCAAGGGUUUUGCCCCUCCAGCGAUUGGGGCCGCUCCUGCCCUGCCUGAAGGCAGCCAUGGGGUGACAGUUUCCGGUGGGUUCACGAGUGUGUCACAUGCAGGCUGGCAGCUUACGGCAUCCGCUGACUCUGGAGCCAGGCGUGGGUCUGCAGGCCCUGGUGUCCUGUGUGGGGAGAGCCAUGGAACAGGUGCCCCACUAGGCGAGCCUAAAGAGCAUGUUCCAGAUGCCAAGGCCGCCCAGGGAAGCCUGGGAGCCUACAGCACCCUGUCACCAGCAGGAGAGGCUACAGGUGCAGAGCCAGGGGACCCAGGCGCCAGGCCCAUGGCCCCACUGCCUGAGGAGAUCUCGCCAAUAGACAUUGUGCCAGUGGACUGCACUCGCAGGACUGGCCCAGACAGGUCACCAUUGAGCAUAGGAAGCCAUUCUGGGGACCUGAAGCAGCUCCUCCAUGGGCUGGAGGUACACAUCAGCCUGGGAGACCUGGAAUGUGAGGCUGCUGUUGGGGACUCGGUGGCCUUUGAAAUCAGUAAUGGGUGCCCGGAAGUGCUUUGCCAGGGCCAGGAAAAGAUCCUCGUUCAGACUGCCAGCGGGGUCCUCCUGUCCCACUUGGGGACCACCACAUCACAGGAGAACACUGUCCUGGUGACCGGUGCAGGGGGCCCUGGCCUGCACAUCAGGGCCCCAGAAGGCAUCCCUCUGGUAGCAGGGGGCGAGACCCUCACAGUGCAGACCGAGCCCUCGCCAUGACCGUGUUGGAAGCAUGGUCCCACAUCUGUUCUGCCUGGAGUCCAGUGGGCAAUGGGGUUUUCUCCUGUGAACCCCGGUGAUGAGCCUGGUGUUUUCAUAAAGAGUAACAUCUGCAGUGCCUGUCCAGUUCCUCGGGGUGUCAGUACUGGGGUUCGGACAGAUUCAUCUCCAGACCUUUUUAAACUUUUUGAGACGGGCUCCCUGUGUACCUCAGACUGGCCCCUAGCUGGAACUUGGGGCAAUCCUGCCUCAGCCUCCCAAGUGCUGGACCACCACACCCGGCUUGUAGUCUUUUAUUUUGGAGCCCCAAAAUUCUUCAUUUCUCUGGGAGCGUUUGCUCUUUGGACCCUUAGCUUCAGUGUCACAGAGCUACCUUUGUCCCACAGCCUGAAGUCCCUCAGGUUGCUUUUCCUGAGGAACAGCAGACUCGCGCACAUAGCCUGCGCCAUGCUCCCGUGAUUCGAACAUGGCCUUUGCUCUGUGGGUCUGCUGGGCUGCAUGUCUGUAGAGGACUGGGAUUUGGGUUUGAGACCUUUGUUCCAAGCACAGGGCUGAUAGGAGGAAGUGGGGAGGAAAGAAAACGGACUGAGGCUGCACCUGUGGUGUACCAAAGGAAGUGCCCCUAGGACAGCCCAUCAGCAGCACAGAGCCUGGGGCCUUGCAGGCCUGGCCCUGGCGUUUCCUCAUCUGUAAAAGGGCAGAGCAGGGGCAGAGCCAUUGAGUUCUCCUUAGUUGGUAAAUUAAAUCAAUCUGGAUGAUUGAGGCAUGGUAGUACACACCUAACAUCACCGCUACUCCAGAGGCUGAGGCAGGAGGCUCCCAUGCCCCAGGCCAGCCUGG